rnacentral:rRNA from 1 species
AGUGAACGCUGGCGGUAGGCCUAACACAUGCAAGUCGAACGGCAGCACAGGAGAGCUUGCUCUCUGGGUGGCGAGUGGCGGACGGGUGAGGAAUACAUCGGAAUCUACUCUGGCGUGGGGGAUAACGUAGGGAAACUUACGCUAAUACCGCAUACGACCUACGGGUGAAAGCAGGGGAUCUUCGGACCUUGCGCGAUUGAAUGAGCCGAUGUCGGAUUAGCUAGUUGGCGGGGUAAAGGCCCACCAAGGCGACGAUCCGUAGCUGGUCUGAGAGGAUGAUCAGCCACACUGGAACUGAGACACGGUCCAGACUCCUACAGGAGGCAGCAGUGGGGAAUAUUGGUCAAUGGGCGCAAGCCUGAUCCAGCCAUACCGCGUGGGUGAAGAAGGCCUUCGGGUUGUAAAGCCCUUUUGUUGGGAAAGAAAUCCAGCUGGCUAAUACCCGGUUGGGAUGACGGUACCCAAAGAAUAAGCACCGGCUAACUUCGUGCCAGCAGCCGCCGUAA